rnacentral:misc_RNA from 1 species
AUCAAUAGCAUGCAUGGUUUAGGCCUAGGUUAUGUACAUGUGAUCUGAUAUUAGGCUUUGAUAAAGUGGUACUAACGUUGGAAAAUAGCAAUAAUCACUACUGAAAAAGCAGAAAAUUACAAAGAAUUCAUCCUCAGAAUGAAACAAAGAAGAAAAGAAAGAAGAGGAAAAUAUGUUAAAGAAAUGCAAAAGCAAAUUUGGUGGAACUCAUAUCUCUUGCUGUCAAUGCAAUCCUUUCUUUUCUUUCUAGCUAGCUUUUUGACUUGGAUAAUAAUUAACCUAUUUCUGCACCCAUCUUCGAGUUUACAAUGGGAACCCUAAAGAUGAUGGGACCAUACGCCUUGCCAUCCCAAUAAGUGCCUACUUUUACACUAUAAAACAUGUGCUUGAUAUGCUAAAGCUUAAGAAAUUUGACCAAUAAAG